rnacentral:tRNA from 4 species
GCUCCCAUCGUCUAGCGGUAAGGACGCCGCCCUCUCAAGGCGGAAACCGGGGUUCAAAUCCCCGUGGGAGCACCA